CAUGAUGUAUUCACAUACUCUGGUCCUCAUGAUUGAGGGGAAAGAACAGAGGAAGGGAUUUUUUUUUUCAAUAACAAAUCUUGAGAUGAGAAAAAGGAUUUGGAUAUUCCACACACCAGGACGCAUAAAAUAAACAUUGUUGGUAAGUGUGUAUUUGGUAUGAGGAUACGUUGGAGAGUGGUGUAAAAAAGAGUGAAUCAUUGGAUAGUCUCGCAAAAAAGUGUAAGGGUGAAUCAAGGCCAGUUAUACAACCAAAGGUCAAAGAUGCAUGCUAGAGGGAGUGAUUUUUAGAUGUUGCCCCUGGCUUUUAAGAAAUGUUGAAGUAUCAAACUUUGUUUAUGUGGAGUCAACACUUAGUCUAGAUCUAACUCUUAUUGUG
rnacentral:lncRNA from 1 species